GCCACAAGAAAUGACUCGAGCAGAUAAGGAUAGACAUGUUCAGGCCUGCACUAAUAUGUUUGAAUAUCAACAAAAGGACAAAAUUCUGGAUAGGGUCAUUAGUGAUAAAAAGUGGAUUUAUUUCAACACAGGUUGAAAAGGGGGAUGGUCUAUGCCAUGUGAGCCCGUCAGCAGCAUCGCAAAAUGCAAUUUGAUUAAUAAAAAGAUCAUGCUUUGCAUCUGGUGGGAUUGCAGUGGCAUUAUCCACAAACAGUUUGUGGAAAAAGCUAAAACCCUCAACAGUAAGGUGUGCAGCGAGAUGCAAGACGAUGUGUGUCUGCAUUCACAGGCUGAACUGUGUGCAGCCUGUGAAUGGUAUCUUUUGCCACACCCACCAUACAGCCCUGACAUCGCUCCUUCAGACUUCUACCUUUUUUCACACCUGCAGCCACAUCUUGCUGAUGCUAUCUUCCAUUCUGCACAGGGCGUCCAAAAUGAGGUUGACAAAUGUUUUUGGACCUGAGACCCCCAAGUUUCUGGGCUGAAGGUUUAGAAAAAUUACUAAAGCGUUGGCAGAAUACCAUAGAUUUGGAACAACAGAACAUCAUAGAUACCUGCACUAAAGAUCAAUCCAUACAUAAGACUUACAUAAUGCUGAUGACAUAGCUAAUUCAGAACUUGCUCAAAAUUUUCGAGAACUGGAACUUUUUCUUGGUAACUAUGGAUUUCGCUUCUACCUAUGUUCUCAUUAAGAUGUAUUUUACUACUUUUUUCCUACUGCAACAAAAUGAAAAAUGUAACUUUUCCAAAACAGGCGUGAAAAAUGUGCCAAGCAUUUGCAGCCACAAAAUGUUUCACUACAAUAAAAGAAAUAUGAUUUAAAUA